GUAAUCGUUCCGGCGUACUAAAGUAUGAAGCUUUUAUACCGAACACAUGUAUUUCAAUGAAGCUCUGUAUAUUACGAUUCAUAAUCAUGUUUUCGCCUAAUCAAAAAAACUUCAUGAAUCGAAGCGCCCAACAUUUUUAAACGUCGUUUCCA